AUUGAACGCUGGCGGCAUGCCUUACACAUGCAAGUCGAACGGCAGCACGGGUGCUUGCACCUGGUGGCGAGUGGCGAACGGGUGAGUAAUACAUCGGAACAUGUCCUGUAGUGGGGGAUAGCCCGGCGAAAGCUGGAUUAAUACCGCAUACGAUCUACGGAUGAAAGCGGGGGACCUUCGGGCCUCGCGCUAUAGGGUUGGCCGAUGGCUGAUUAGCUAGUUGGUGGGGUAAAGGCCUACCAAGGCGACGAUCAGUAGCUGGUCUGAGAGGACGACCAGCCACACUGGGACUGAGACACGGCCCAGACUCCUACGGGAGGCAGCAGUGGGGAAUUUUGGACAAAGGGCGAAAGCCUGAUCCAGCAAUGCCGCGUGUGUGAAGAAGGCCUUCGGGUUGUAAAGCACUUUUGUCCGGAAAGAAAUCCUUGGCCCUAAUACGGUCGGGGGAUGACGGUACCGGAAGAAUAAGCACCGGCUAACUACGUG
rnacentral:rRNA from 1 species